rnacentral:lncRNA from 1 species
AAUUUUCCAGUUCGUAGUAAAUCCAUAUUCUCCUUGGUUCAUAAGGAAGUGUAGUAAAACAAAUGGAAUACUACUGUUGUGGCGACAAAUUUCUCUCUUACUUGUUAUGAAAUUCAUUUUUCUACCCCAUUAAUUAUUUGUUAUCUUAGAUUUCAAGUUCAUCAUGUUCCAUUCCUUCUGGUUAGUAUUUCUUAUCUCCAAACUUCCAUUUUGAAAAUCCUAUCUACUUAUAAAUCAUAGCCUCUUCGUAUAAGGAACUGGCUUCAUCUUACAAGCAUGUAUCUUUUUGUCUUGGACACAUUGGAGAAUUUUUUUUCAAGAGAAAGGGAAAGCGACAAAUAUGAGUUGACAAUUGGAAAAAGAAAAGAAAAGAAAAAGAAAACAUUGACAGGUUUGGAGAAAUUAGAGAUGUUGCUGAACACGACAACUUUAACUCUACUAAAGGCAAUUUUUUUUCAUUUCAUUUGCACCUGGGUAAUCUAAGAUAUUCUUAACCUGUAUUUUUUUUUUUUACUUGAGAGAAUUUCAGGAUUCUUCGCACUCCCUUUCAAUCAUUUCUAGUAUGUAUCGAGUAUUUUAUAAUGUUUUUUUUUU